GUGCUCGCUUUGGCAGCACAUAUAGUAAAAUUGAUAUGAUUUUAAAGAGAAGAUUAGCAUGGUACCUGCACAGGAUGACAUGCAAAUUUGUGAAGCAUUUCAUAUUUUU